rnacentral:rRNA from 1 species
GGUCUGGCCGGAUGGUCUGCCUAACGGUAUGUACUGUCUGGCCGGGCCUUACUUCUUGGUGAGCCGGAAUGCCCUUCGCUGGGUGUGUCGGGGAACCAGGACUUUUACCUUGAAAAAAUUAGAGUGUUCAAAGCAGGCGUAACCUUGCCAUUGAAUAUUACAGCAUGGGAUAAUAGAAUA